UACGUAGGGUGCGAGCGUUAAUCGGAAUUACUGGGCGUAAAGGGUGCGCAGGCGGUUAUAUAAGACAGAUGUGAAAUCCCCGGGCUCAACCUGGGAACUGCGUUUGUGACUGUAUGACUAGAGUACGGUAGAGAGGGGUGGAAUUCCUGGUGUAGCAGUGAAAUGCGUAGAUAUCAGGAGGAACAUCGAUGGCGAAGGCAGGCCCCUUGGACCUGUACUGACGCUCAUGCACGAAAGCGUGGGGAGCAAACAGG
rnacentral:rRNA from 1 species